rnacentral:rRNA from 1 species
AGCGGCGGACGGGUGAGUAACACGUGGGUAACCUCGCCUUGUAAGACUGGGAUAACUCCGGGAAACCGGAGCUAAUACCGGAUAGUUCCUUGAACCGCAUGGUUCAAGGAUGAAAGACGGUUUCGGCUGUCACUUACAGAUGGACCCGCGGCGCAUUAGCUAGUUGGUGAGGUAACGGCUCACCAAGGCGACGAUGCGUAGCCGACCUGAGAGGGUGAUCGGCCACACUGGGACUGAGACACGGCCCAGACUCCUACGGGAGGCAGCAGUAGGGAAUCUUCCGCAAUGGACGAAAGUCUGACGGAGCAACGCCGCGUGAGUGAUGAAGGUUUUCGGAUCGUAAAGCUCUGUUGUUAGGGAAGAACAAGUGCAAGAGUAACUGCUUGCACCUUGACGGUACCUAACCAGAAAGCCACGGCUAACUACGUGCCAGCAGCCGCGGUAAUACGUAGGUGGCAAGCGUUGUCCGGAAUUAUUGGGCGUAAAGGGCUCGCAGGCGGUUUCUUAAGUCUGAUGUGAAAGCCCCCGGCUCAACCGGGGAGGGUCAUUGGAAACUGGGAAACUUGAGUGCAGAAGAGGAGAGUGGAAUUCCACGUGUAGCGGUGAAAUGCGUAGAGAUGUGGAGGAACACCAGUGGCGAAGGCGACUCUCUGGUCUGUAACUGACGCUGAGGAGCGAAAGCGUGGGGAGCGAACAGGAUUAGAUACCCUGGUAGUCCACGCCGUAAACGAUGAGUGCUAAGUGUUAGGGGGUUUCCGCCCCUUAGUGCUGCAGCUAACGCAUUAAGCACU